GAGUUUGAUCCUGGCUCAGGAUGAACGCUAGCGGCAGGCUUAAUACAUGCAAGUCGAGGGGUAGCAUGAUUGUAGCAAUACAAUUGAUGACGACCGGCAAACGGGUGCGGAACACGUACACAACCUUCCUACAAGUGGGGAAUAGCCCAGAGAAAUUUGGAUUAAUACCCCGUAACAUAGCGAUGUGGCAUCACAUUGCUAUUAUAGCUUCGGCGCUUGUUGAUGGGUGUGCGGCUGAUUAGAUAGUUGGCGGGGUAACGGCCCACCAAGUCUACGAUCAGUAGCUGAUGUGAGAGCAUGAUCAGCCACACGGGCACUGAGACACGGGCCCGACUCCUACGGGAGGCAGCAGUAAGGAAUAUUGGACAAUGGACGCAAGUCUGAUCCAGCCAUGCCGCGUGAAGGAUUAAGGUCCUCUGGAUUGUAAACUUCUUUUAUAAGGGACGAAAAAAGGUCUUUCUAGAUCGUCUGACGGUACCUUAUGAAUAAGCACCGGCUAACUCCGUGCCAGCAGCCGCGGUAAUACGGAGGGUGCAAGCGUUAUCCGGAUUCACUGGGUUUAAAGGGUGCGU
rnacentral:rRNA from 1 species